GCUAGUUAUCCUGAAAAGCUAGUUUAAGCAUCUCCCAACAAUGCCUCUAAUAAGAUAACAAUGUAAAUAGAACACCAUUGUCAGGUAUAAUCAACUCGAUCGAGUUAGACAAACCUGAAGCUCGAGACCAGGUGCUUAAGUAGCAUCACCAUUGAGGUUCUUUAACAUUAACAUCUUCAAAAAGGAGCGACAAUCAAGCGUCGUCGUCACCGGAACCAAAGACACAAGGCUAGAGGCUAGCUUUUCAUCCUGAAAAGCUAGUUUAAGCAUCUUCGAACAAUGCCUCUAAGAAAAUAACAAUGUGAACAGAACGCCAUCAUCAGGUAUAAUCAACUCGAUCGAGUCAGACAAACCUGAAGCUCGAAACCAGGUGCUCAAGUUGCACCAGCAUCGAUGUCGCACAUGUGUUGUCACCAUCUCAUAGUCGUGUCCAGUAGUCGAUAUGUGCAUACGGUGGGACUAACUAAGCCUUGUCGGCACAUAUUGAUGGAUGGUAUGUUGUGCCAUCACGUCAUACAGUGCUCUUUAGUGCUAUGCCAGAUCAGUGUACGCAUG
rnacentral:lncRNA from 1 species